rnacentral:lncRNA from 1 species
CUAUAUGCAUAUGCAAAAUUCCGAUUUUCAGAUACUUAUGGACAUGGUUUCUACAUGAGAGAAUGCAACAUUCAGAAUACUUGUCUAUGUGUAAAAUGCAGAAUACCUAUAGGUAGGAUAUCUAUGUGAGAAUGCAGAAUUUCAGAAAUACCUAUAGAAUGGCUAUAUACCCUUUGCAUACAUAGUUAUCCCUCCCCUUUUCACUAGCUAUCCCCGAGAGUUUAUUACAAAAUUAUUAUAACCCAGAAUAAAGUAAAAGAAUACAUCAGAAAUUAAAAAGUACAACCAAGGAAAGCUUGAUUCAGGCUUCAUGUCUCAAAUAUAAGGUAAACCAACUCCAAGAGAUCAUGAUCCAAAGCCUUUCUCCCAUUUGAGUGUGUCAGAGUUUCCUAAGAGUCUCAAAUGAACUCCGGGCAGUGCUCACACCCAAAUGUGUUACCACAUUAAGACAAGUGCAGUAUGGAAAAGGCCAGCCCUCAAGUGUCCAAGUUCAGAGGGAACUUAAAGUCCCAAGGUAAGGCUUAUAAGAGAGGGAAUGAACUUAAAGACUAAGAGAGAGUGCAAGUGCAGGAAUAGAAUCCUGGGACAGGGUGUUUAGGGGAAAGGGGAAAUUAAAAAAGGCAAGAGUAGGCUGUGGGCAUACCCAGCAAUGGGGAAUGCUAGCACACCCAUGAGCCUGUUAGAACACACUAUUUAAAAGCUAGAAUCCCAAGGGAUCAAGUUUAGUUCAUGGACAAUAACUUACAUAUUGCCAUGUCUUAAACCAUAGCUCAAACACAUAAGGAGGCAGGGGUUUAGGAUUUAUAAUAGAAACAUGCCGAAAGAAAUCAACAUGCUAAUUUAAGAAUUGAAUUAUUCAGAAACAGUAAGAACACAUGAAUAUAAAAGCAGUAAAUAAACACAUUGUUAUGGUGCUAAAGCUUAAAUCAGGAUAUACCAGUUUUAAAGAAACAAGUAGAGAAAAUUAGUAGGUCUUGUAAAUGGGCCACAGUGCAGCCAAGGAGAGAAAAUACUAUUGUAUGUAAGUGUGAGUUCAGAAAGAUUAAGAAUUAGUGAUUGAGUUUAUGAAAGAGUCAUGCCAUUAUAGUGUGAAAAUCGUGUAGAAAUAAGGUAAGAAAUAGUUAAGGAACUGAAUAUCAAUUAAGAAUCAAUCACACAGGACUUCCUUUAAUUAAGGAAUUUAGAUUCAAAUGGUAAAAGUUAUUUUAGGAAAGAAAUCAAACAAGCAAUUUGUGUAAACUAUGCAAUUAGGGGUAUAUACAAGAAGUUUACUAAAGGACAGAAUUUUAAAAUACACGGUUGCACAAAUAAGGUAAAAAAAGCAAUUAGUAUCCAGUAAAUCAGAGGUCAGAGAUUUUGUAAUUAUUGGUCCAUGAAUGAACCAAGUUAGAAAAGCUGAGUAAGGUUUUAACUUAAGUCGAACCAUAGUGAAAUCAGCAAACAAUGGAAAGAAAUCAAUCAGACCUAUUUAGAAGGAAGUCUGAACUAAUCACAAAUUUAAAAGCAUUUUAAAGGGAAGUUUAUCACAUAUAAAGAGCAUACAGACAUGUUAAGCUGAAAGAAGAUGUUGUGUCAUUGUAAAAUUAUUAGAUAAUAGACUACAGGGGAAUGGUUAUCACAUAGGUCAGCAAUGUUGAAGAGAAGUAGAAUCUAGUAGCAUACAAAAGAUCUAGUGUAAAAAACCUUAGAAGAAGUUAGCAAAAGUCAGAAUCAUAUGAAAAAUAAGUAUUUCAAAACUCAGUUCAGAGACUUGAAAUAGGUAUAAAAGAGUUAGGGUUUUUUGAAAUAAAACCAGUUCAGGCAAAUUACAUAGCCAAUGGCUUCCAAACUUGGAAGAGAUCCCAAAUUCUAGGGUUUCUACCAUCAAUCAAGUGUAGAGAUGAGAGGACAAGUAGUUAAGUCGAAACAAGUUCAGAGGUUUCAGAAAAGAACUGAAACCUUUAACAUGUUCCUUUCAGCAACAGAAACUCAUGAGAAAGAUGAUAGAAGAGUAACAUGCGAAAACAGCAGAAGAGCUCAAAAAAAACAUGGUAAAAGAAACUAAUACAAAGCAUACUAGAGAAAUUGAUAGGAACAGUAGGAGAAGCAUAUUAGGAAGUAUUAAAAGAAACUUAACUAGAACAUAGUAUAGGAAACUUAAUAAGAAAUACUCAAUAACACAAUAGGGGAAAAUACAGUAGAAAAAACACACAAGAAUAUAGUAGAUAAAAUACAGUAGAAGAAACACACAAAAGAAAGAGAAAAUCAGAGAAACAUCUAAAAUUUUCAGAGAACCCUAGAUCGGAAAAAGAGAUGGUUUCGAAAGUAUAGUUUUAAAAGGAAAUCUAGAAAAUUAUUUAAAAACUUAGGGAACACAUAGAUCUGGAACAGAUCUAAAGAGAUCAGAAAAACCUCAAAGCUAGGAUUUUCAGAGAAACCCAAAUAGUGAGAAAGGCUUGGAUCUAAACAUGAGGAGUCGUAGCCAGGCUCAAAACAGACAUAGCUUACCGGAGCAGGGUCGGAGAUGGCCAUUGAACUUAAGUCGUCAAAGGUCUGGACUCAACUCUUCGUGGUCGAGUCACGAAGCUUCAGUUAACCAAACGUGGGGAGCCAUAGGUGGCUUGGUGGGUGGUGAAACCACCAUCGGUUUAGGUUAGAAGGUGGUCGGAGAAGAUGAACAGAACCCAUCGGAGAGGAAGGAAGGGGGAAGGUUCUAGAGAGAACCAAAAGUAGAGAGAUACACAUGAGGGAGGAAUGAGAGGGGUAUUGGGGGGG